rnacentral:rRNA from 1 species
GAUGAACGCUGGCGGCGUGCCUAAUACAUGCAAGUCGAGCGAACAGAUGAGGAGCUUGCUCCUCUGACGUUAGCGGCGGACGGGUGAGUAGCACGUGGAUAACCUACCUAUAAGACUGGGAUAACUUCGGGAAACCGGAGCUAAUACCGGAUAAUAUAUUGAACCGCAUGGUUCAAUAGUGAAAGACGGUUUUGCUGUCACUUAUAGAUGGAUCCGCGCCGCAUUAGCUAGUUGGUAAGGUAACGGCUUACCAAGGCAACGAUGCGUAGCCGACCUGAGAGGGUGAUCGGCCACACUGGAACUGAGACACGGUCCAGACUCCUACGGGAGGCAGCAGUAGGGAAUCUUCCGCAAAGGGCGAAAGCCUGACGGAGCAACGCCGCGUGAGUGAUGAAGGUCUUCGGAUCGUAAAACUCUGUUAUUAGGGAAGAACAAAUGUGUAAGUAACUAUGCACGUCUUGACGGUACCUAAUCAGAAAGCCACGGCUAACUACGUG